AUUAGCCUCGGGGGCAGCAGUGAGGAAUAUUGGUCAAUGGGCGGGAGCCUGAACCAGCCAAGUCGCGUGAGGGAAGACGGUCCUAUGGAUUGUAAACCUCUUUAGGCGGGGAGCAAUGCCGGGCACGCGUGUCCGGAGGGAGAGUACCCGCAGAAUAAGCAUCGGCUAACUCCGUGCCAGCAGCCGCGGUAAUACGGAGGAUGCGAGCGUUAUCCGGAUUUAUUGGGUUUAAAGGGUGCGUAGGCGGAUUUUUAAGUCAGCGGUAAAAUGUCCGGGCUCAACCCGGGCCGGCCGUUGAAACUGGG
rnacentral:rRNA from 1 species